rnacentral:lncRNA from 1 species
GCCAAACUGGGAGCACUGGGAUGGACUGGGAGCGCUGGGAGUGGGGCUGGGCCGGCGUCAGAGCCGCCCGAUGCUGGUGGUGAGGGUCAAACUGGGAGCACUGGGAUGGACUGGGAGCACUGGGAGUGGGGCUGGGCCGGCGCCAGAGCCGCCCGCUGCUGCUGGUGAGGGUCAAACUGGGAGCACUGGGAUGGACUGGGAGCGCUGGGAGUGGGGCUGGGCCGGCGCCAGAGCCGCCCGCUGCUGCUGGUGAGAGUUAAACUGGGAGCACUGGGAUGGACUGGGAGCGCUGGGAGUGGGGCUGGGCCGGCGCCAGAGCCGCCCGCUGCUGCUGGUGAGGGUCAAACUGGGAGCACUGGGAUGGACUGGGAGCGCUGGCAGUGGGGCUGGGCUGGCGCCAGAGCCGCCCGCUGCUGCUGGUGAGAGUCAAACUGGGAGCACUGGGAUGGACUGGGAGCGCUGGGAGUCGGGCUGGGCCGGCGCCAGAGCCGCCCGCUGCUGCUGGUGAGGGUCAAACUGGGAGCACUGGGAUGGACUGGGAGCACUGGGAGUGGGGCUGGGCGGGCGCCAGAGCCGCCCGCUGCUGCUGGUGAGGGUCAAACUGGGAGCACUGGGAUGGACUGGGAGCGCUGGGAGUGGGGCUGGGCCGGCGCCAGAGCCGCCCGCUGCUGCUGGUGCACGUGGAGCAGGAGCUGCUCCUCUACGAGGGGGUUGGGGGUUCCCAGGUGGAUUUUGGGGGUUCCCAGGUGGAUUUUGGGGUGCUGGGCUGGAUUUUGGGGUACCCUGACCCCAUUUUCGGGGUUCCCAGGUGGAUUUUGAGGGUUCCCAGGUGGAUUUUGGGGCUCCCCGGUGGAUUUUGGGGGUUCCCAGGUGGAUUUUGGGGUGCCCUGACCCGUUUUCGGGGCUCCCAGGUGCACGUGGAGCAGGAGCUGCUCCUCUACGAGGGGGUUUGGGGGUUCCCAGGUGGAUUUUGGGGCUCCCCGGUGGAUUUUGGGGGUUCCCAGGUGGAUUUUGGGGUGCCCUGACCCCAUUUUCGGGGUUCCCAGGUGGAUUUUGGGGGUUCCCAGGUGGA